rfam:Arabis alpina cultivar Pajares scaff_65400_1_contig_20, whole genome shotgun sequence.
AAUCCAUGAUAAGGGAAAUCUGUUAGGUAUUCCUUAAAGCGUUCCCAAGUAUCUUGGAAACUUUCCAAAGGUCCUUGUUGGAAUCCUUGUAUCUUGUUUCUUAAGAGAUU